rnacentral:rRNA from 1 species
UUCCUACGGGAGGCAGCAGUGGGGAAUCUUGCACAAUGGGCGAAAGCCUGAUGCAGCAACGCCGCGUGAGCGAAGAAGGCCUUUGGGUCGUAAAGCUCUGUCCUAAGGGAAGAAGGAAGUGACGGUACCUUAGGAGGAAGCCCCGGCUAACUACGUGCCAGCAGCCGCGGUAAUACGUAGGGGGCAAGCGUUAUCCGGAAUUAUUGGGCGUAAAGAGUACGUAGGCGGUCCUGCAAGUCUGGAGUGAAACGCAUGAGCUCAACUCAUGCAUGGCUUUGGAAACUGGAGGACUGGAGAGCAGGAGG